CAUGGAAGGUUGACGUAACUCUGAAUCAUAUGAGAUUACAUUGAUGUCCCUAUUAGAAGAGAUCAUGACAAGAAUGUAACUAACCGAGAGAACAUACAAGAAUGAAAAAGAGGACAUUUGCUAUGGAGGACGACGACUGGUGUUUCAGUGAGGAGAUGUGCCUGCUAGAGAAGCAGGAGAGAAACUUGAAAAGUUGAAAAGAGGAAGGAAGACAUGUACCUCGAGAGGAUAAUGGUACAAAGAACUGGGAAGCGGCCGAAAAGAGAGCAAGAAGAGACACAGAAAACAACAAUAAGACUGGUUCAUCAGGAGAGAAAGGGAAUGGAUGAAAAGAGAAAGAGAGCAGAG